GAAGACUUAAGAAAAACUUAGUGACUACUAGAUUAUCCUUAGGACUCUGCAUUAACUCUAUAAUGUUCUUGGUAUUAAAAAAAAAAAAGCAUAUUUGUCACAGAAAUUUAGUUAACAUCUUACAACUGAACAUGUAUGUAUGUUGCUUAGAUAAAUGUAAUCACUGUAAACAUCUAUAUGAUCUGGGAUUUUGUUUUUAUUUUGAAAUGGGAGCUUUUUUGUUUACAAGUUCAUUAAAAACUAAAAACUGUUUCUGUAAGGAAAUGAGAUUUUUUUUUAAACAACAAAAAUGCCUUGCUGACUCACUAUAAAAUAAAAAUCUCCCCAAUUUUUUGAUAGACUACUUUAAGCCAUUUGUUACAUGGUAUUCCUUUGCAAGUCAUUCUAGGUUUCGUGUUAACUUUUCCUUUAAAAAAAAAAAAAAUCUAUUUCUUUUGUCUGAAGGGGAAAGGCAUUCUUUCAUUUUUGUUUUUUUAUGACUUGCAGGCACAGUAUCUAGUACUGCCACUGCCAGAACUUGGUAUUGUAACUGCUGCCCGCUGACUAGCAGCUAGACUGAUUCUGAAUAAAGAUGAAAGCAUUAAAGGGUUUUCCUAUAAAACAUUUUUCUUUAAAAUACUUGUGAAAUGGCUAUAAGCAGUUGACUUUCACCCUUGGAGAGCAUCACACUGUGUGAGGUUCAGUGAUCGUUGACCCUCCCCAACCCCUCCUGCUUCUUUAUCUGUCUUUAUCUCUGUGCGUGCGCUUCCUCUCAAUUUUCUUUGCACGCUUAUUUCUUUUUCUCUGACCCAAGAAAAAGGAAAACUUACUGAUGAUAAUUUUAAAGUAGUGUAAUUUAUUCAUUUAUAGCAUGUCAGGAUAAAUUAAAAGAACAUUUGUCUGGAAAUGCUGCCAGGAGCCUAUUGUGUAAAUGUAGGUAUUUUGUAAAAUAACAUUGAAAUUGUAAAUUGACACGUGUUUGGUCAGAUUGUGUCAAGUUUAAUUUGUUUUGUUUUCUUUUUUUUUUAAUUUGAAAACUACUUUAGCAAUAAUUAAUUCCAUGAUUAUCACAUUCUGCCAUUAAGGGAGAUAGUACCGUAAUACUGAAGAAAUCUUGUUAAGUCUGAACUUUUGGGGUAGGCAGCUUUUUUGUUUCUUUUCUAUCCACCCUUGUCGGUUGAGGUAUUUGUUUCUUGACUAAUAAACCCUUUGAUACUUUUAGCCAGAAAUUGGUCUCAUAAAGCUAUUUUUGAGUAUAGUUUGUGUAAAAUAAAACUGUUUAGCUUUGGUAAUAACUUUUCCAAGCUGAACUCCCUCUAGCAAGAUAUUUUUCAGUGCUUUUAUUUACUAUGCACUUAGACUAUGCACUUUUUCUGAAAUAUUUUUGUAACACUUUUUUGUAUUUUUGCCAUUUGAAAAGGUUGUGGUGUAGUUGGUCUGUAAUUAAGUUGCAGAUUUAAAACUGCUGUUAGCUUUGUAAAUCAAAAUAUAGGUGUUUUUUGUCCUGGUAUAUCAUCAUUCCAUCUGCAGCUGGAGCUGGAAUCCCAUUGAUCUUCUAGCUACCAUUCAUUUUCUUCACAGUUCACAAAAGAAGAAUGUGAAAUUCAGUGAAUGCUGUUACUAAUCCUGUCGCGAGAUGAAUCUCAUUUCACCAAAAUUAAAUUAUGUUUUUCCGCUAAAAUGAUGAUACAAGUUGAAGACACAUCACUCUGAAAUUGGAAGACCUCACCACUUAAGGCUCCACAGUGGCUUACUCAGCUGAACUCUAGGUUACUACUCUUUACUUUGUUCACCCAUUGGGGGGUGCAGUUUUUUUAAAAUGUUGGGAGAUGGCCAUUCUAACUACUGUUGAAUGUCUCUGUUUUGGGAAGGUAUAACAAGAAAUAAAAAAGAAUAUAUAUGAA